AUAUGUUAUUGGACUAAGCUGUUGCAGUGCCUCAUUAGACCUAUCGGUUGAACUUUUCCCUUGGGUGGCCGUACCCACUAAGAACCAUGGAGUUGGUUCUCACCCCACGUUGUUUUGGGGUGUUUCAGGUUCACACAUGAGCGCGCGGCGGCGCGAGGCGAGGGCGUAGCUCCGUAGUUAGCGCCCCACCACCGAGACCAGAGAUAGCGGUACCCUACGUCGGCCUUACUUAGGGAUGUAAGAAAAUUAAAAGAAUCAAGUGUAAUAAUAUUGUUAAAGCUAGAUUGUAUUUGGAAGCUAAAAAGAAUGAAAGAUGUAAUAUGUAAAUAUAUGUGAGUUGAAUAAUUGUAAUAACUUAGUUGUAUUUAUGUUUAUGAUACUUCCUUAUGCAAUCUUUGAUUGAAUACUGUUCCUGGUUGGAACCUCGUGUAUUGCUUUGUAUUGAUUGCGACGCCUUAAAUG
rnacentral:lncRNA from 1 species